rnacentral:rRNA from 1 species
GUAGGGGGCAAGCGUUGUCCGGAUUUAUUGGGCGUAAAGAGCUCGUAGGCGGUUUGGUAAGUCAGGUGUGAAAUCUCCACGCUCAACGUGGAGGGGCCACCUGAUACUGCCAUGACUGGAGUCCGGUAGAGGAGUGUGGAAUUCCCGGUGUAGCGGUGAAAUGCGCAGAUAUCGGGAGGAACACCCGUAGCGAAGGCGGCACUCUGGGCCGGUACUGACGCUGAGGAGCGAAAGCGUGGGGAGCAAACAGGGAUUAGAUACCCUGGUAGUCCACGCCGUAAACGUUGGGCACUAGGUGUGGGGCUCUAUCGACGGGUUCCGUGCCCGCAGCUAACGCAUUAAGUACCCCCGCCUGGGGGAGUACGGCCGCAAGGCUAA